AUUGAACGCUGGCGGCAUGCCUUACACAUGCAAGUCGAACGGCAGCGCGGACUUCGGUCUGGCGGCGAGUGGCGAACGGGUGAGUAAUACAUCGGAACGUACCCUGUUGUGGGGGAUAACUAGUCGAAAGAUUAGCUAAUACCGCAUACGACCUGAGGGUGAAAGUGGGGGAUCGCAAGGCCUCACGCAUCAGGAGCGGCCGAUGUCUGAUUAGCUAGUUGGUGGGGUACAGGCCCACCAAGGCGACGAUCAGUAGCUGGUCUGAGAGGACGAUCAGCCACACUGGGACUGAGACACAGCCCAGACUCCGAAGGGAGGCAGCAGUGGGGAAUUUUGGACAAUGGGGGCAACCCUGAUCCAGCAAUGCCGCGUGUGUGAAGAAGGCCUUCGGGUUGUAAAGCACUUCUGUCCGGAAAGAAAUCGCGCUGGUUAAUACCUGGCGUGGAUGACGGUACCGGAAGAAUAAGCACCGGCUAACUACGUGCCAGCAGCCGCGGUAA
rnacentral:rRNA from 1 species